AACGAACGCUGGCGGCAGGCCUAACACAUGCAAGUCGAGCGAGGACUUCGGUUCUAGCGGCGGACGGGUGAGUAACGCGUGGGAAUGUGCCCUUCUCUACGGAAUAGCCCUGGGAAACUGGGAGUAAUACCGUAUACGCCCUUUUGGGGAAAGAUUUAUCGGAGAAGGAUCAGCCCGCGUUGGAUUAGGUAGUUGGUGGGGUAAUGGCCUACCAAGCCGACGAUCCAUAGCUGGUUUGAGAGGAUGAUCAGCCACACUGGGACUGAGACACGGCCCAGACUCCUACGUGAGGCAGCAGUGGGGAAUCUUAGACAAUGGGGGCAACCCUGAUCUAGCCAUGGCGCGUGAGUGAUGAAGGCCUUAGGGUUGUAAAGCUCUUUCAGCUGGGAAGAUAAUGACGGUACCAGCAGAAGAAGCCCCGGCUAACUCCGUG
rnacentral:rRNA from 1 species